rnacentral:rRNA from 1 species
UCUUUGGGUUCGGGCAAUUCGAAUUGAAGAACGCAGCGAAAUGCGAUAUUAAAUGUAAGUUGCAGAAUUCAGUGAAUCAUCGAGUCUUUGAACGGCACCAUUGCGCCCCUUGGUAUUCCGGGGGGCUGCCUGUCCGAGCGGCCAUUGCUGCCC